ACUCUCUCUCUCUCUCCGGCCACCAUGUGAAGAUAUGCGUGCUUCCCCUUCACCCUUCUGCCAUGAUUGUAAGUUUCCUGAGGCUUCCCCAGCCAUGCCUCCUGUACAGCCUGUGGAACUGUGAGUCAAACCCCUUUUCUUCACAAAUUACCCAGUCUCAGGUAGUUCUUUAUAUCAGUGUGAGAACAGACUAAUACAUCCACAGGCUGACCUAAUCUAAAAUUAGCAACACAAAGGAAUGAAUAUUUAUAAUUGUAUACAGUGUUAUCCUUUGUGAAUAUUCUAUCUUAUCCAUUCUGGACCUAAUUAAUCUAGUUUAUUUUGGAUGAUUUGCUUAUGGGAGUCUUGCUUUAACCAGGGAAAAUAUUUAUUAAUUCUGAAGAAUGUAGUAAGUUUCAUAUCUUGAUUUAUAUUUUGGCAGUUCAACCAUGCACUGUGUGGGGGCCAAAAAAAUCCCUAAAAAUAAUCAUAUGAUAUUGGCUAAGACCAAAUGCAGCCAGUUAUUUCUGUUGGUAUGUCUUAAUGAGGGAAAAAGGCAGAGCUGGAUGCCUCUUCUUUCUUAAAUUAAAAACAAAACAAAAUAAACAAGCAAAAAAAACUUCAAGAGACUUCAAAGGUCAGUAGAAAGUUUUCGUUUAAAUUGCCAAUUGUACAAUUUGAGGAAUGCAAGUAAACUGCCCUCAAAUAACUUUUCUAGGUAUUUUUCAAAAAAUUCUAAAGGGAAUAUUUGCUUUCUAGGCAAGGUUUUUAAAUAUUUCAUUAUCUAGGCUUAGAUAGCUUGGAUAGAAUAGUUAUUAUUUUAUAUUCAAUCUUUUACUUUAGCAGACUAUUAGGAUAUGCUUGUUGUGACUCAGUUUUUUGUAUCUACCAUCUGUUGGUUUAUUACCCAAAUCUAUAAGUAAACAUCAACAUAGGAAGCUUUACUGUCACUGAAGCUUUAUUAAAUAAAUGAGUUUAAUUGUGGAUUGUUAUCUGUGAAGUCAGGACCUGGGAGAGAAAAAAGCUACCAGCAACAUUCAGACUGAGAGAGGCCAAAAUACUAAUUCAUAAUUAGCCUGGUACAUAUGAAGGAUCAAAAAGAACAGGACUGUAUGUCUGACCUCUGACAGGCCCUACCACCAUAGUAGAGACUCAGUAUGUAUACUUAAUGAAGGAAUAAUGAAUACAUCAGCAAGAGAAAUAAGAGUGACCAUAUGUUCCUUAAGAGAAGCAAAGAGCAGCUCCUGUUCCUGGUAAGCUCUGGCUGUAUUUUGUUCCUUUUCCAAAAAAGUCUGUGAUAUUCCUUGUUGUGUAUUUAUAAUAACAUUCUUUUUUCUUGAGCCAGCUGGAAUGAGUCUCCAUUCCUUGCAACAGAAGUGUCCUAAGUUAUAGCCAGAGGACGGGGGCACAUUGACAAAACAUAAAGCGGAUAUGAUAAUAACAAGGUACCAUUCCAGCAAGAACAUCUGAAGAAAGAAGCAGUGUUGUUUAU
rnacentral:lncRNA from 1 species